UACGUAGGGUGCGAGCGUUAAUCGGAAUUACUGGGCGUAAAGCGUGCGCAGGCGGUUUUGUAAGCCAGAUGUGAAAUCCCCGGGCUUAACCUGGGAAUGGCAUUUGGGACUGCAAGGCUUGAGUGCGGCAGAGGAGACUAGAAUUCCUGGUGUAGCAGUGAAAUGCGUAGAUAUCUGGAGGAACACCGGUGGCGAAGGCGGCAUCCUGGACCAAUAUUGACGCUGAGGAGCGAAAGCCAGGGGAGCAAACGGG
rnacentral:rRNA from 1 species